rfam:Diplodia seriata DS_831_scaffold_v01_68, whole genome shotgun sequence.
GGCACUUUGGCGGAGUGGUUAACGCGCUGGCCUGCUACUUUCGAGAUGGAAGAAGUUGAUAGCCAGUUCCUUCGGGAGCGUGAGUUCGAAUCUCACAGGUGUCG